rnacentral:rRNA from 1 species
CAUGCAGUCGAGCGCACCUUCGGGUGAGCGGCGGACGGGUUAGUAACGCGUGCGAACAUACCCUUUUCUACGGAAUAGCCUCGGGAAACUGAGAGUAAUACCGUAUAAGCCCUUCGGGGGAAAGAUUUAUCGGGAAAGGAUUGGCCCGCGUUAGAUUAGAUAUUUGGUGGGGUAAUGGCCUACCAAGUCUACGAUCUAUAGCUGGUUUUAGAGGAUGAUCAGCAACACUGGGACUGAGACACGGCCCAGACUCCUACGGGAGGCAGCAGUGGGGAAUCUUAGACAAUGGGCGCAAGCCUGAUCUAGCCAUGCCGCGUGUGUGAUGAAGGUCUUAGGAUCGUAAAGCACUUUCGCCAGGGAUGAUAAUGACAGUACCUGGUAAAGAAACCCCGGCUAACUCCGUGCCAGCAGCCGCGGUAAUACGGAGG